GUAGUGGUGGCAACUAUGGUCUGUGAGGAUGGCAACUUUAGUUCUGUGUGGGUGGCGACUUUAUUCCGUCGCGCCAGAAAACUAGAGAGCGAACGUUAAAUUCCGUGGGGUGGCAACUUUAGUUCCGU